CAGAGUAGAUGACCGUGCGUUAUAGUGUCCCGACAACGGGGAGUUGUGUCGGGGACGAAAUAUACAUGCAGCCCAUGUAUUGCGGUUCGGUCAUCGCAUCCCGCU
rnacentral:ncRNA from 1 species